AUGGGCAACUCCGGCGAGAUCAAGCAGCUAGAGCCGGAGUACCCGCGCCGGCCCGGCCAGCCCGACUCCUUCUGCUACGUCAAGUUCGGGAGCCGCAGGUUCAGUUCGGAGACUGGCGAGCUCAAACAGCUGGAACCGGAGUGCCCGCGGCGGCCGGGUGAUCCGGACUGCCCGAUGGGUGACUCCGCUGGUUCUGCCACACCGUCCUCCUCGAUGAAUCUCGCCAACUCGAAGGCUGGCGAGAUCAAACAGCUGCAGCCGGAGUACCCGCGGUGGCCCGGCCAGCCCGACCGCUUCUACUACCUCAAGUUCGGGAGCUGCACGUCCAAUUCGGAGGUCGGCGAGAUCAAGCAGCUGGCGCCGGAGUACCAGCCGCGGCCCAGCGAGCCGGACUGCACGAUUGGCGCCUCUUCGAUCGCCUCCUCGUCCGUCGCUUCUGCCACACCGCCCUCCUUGCUGAAUCUUGCCAAUUCGGAGACCGGCCAGAUCAAGCACCAGGAGUACCCGGGGCGGCCCGGCGAGGCCGACUGCCCGAUGAGCGACUCCUCCUCCUUGUCGUCUGUAAGCAUCACCACUUCUCCUUCAUCAGAAAACAAAAGAAAAGUAAUGAAGAAAAUCAUCACCGCUCCGACGGGUGACCUCUCCUCCGAUGGCUCUUCCGCACCGCCGCCCGAUUCGGAGACCGGCGAGAAGCAGCCGGAGCCGGGGUACCCGCUGCGGCCUGGGAAGAGCGACUGCUCGUACUACGUCAAGUUCGGAAGCUGCCGGUACGGGAUGAAUUGCUGGUUCAAUCAUCCUCUCUACAUGCAUGGUAGCCGUGUGCUUCAGCGGGAUAAUUGGGUUGGAAGGAACAGCAGCCGAGCAUCUAACUCAUCCGAGUACAACCAGUAUAUUUUCGACAAAGCAUGCACCUACAACCGCCAUGAAGGAAAAACCAAAGUCAAGCAAGUGAAGCUGAAUUUCCUUGGGCUUCCACUUCGUCCAGGUACAAAACUAUGUUCGUACUAUAUGAAUCGCGGAACCUGCAAAUUUGGCACCAGCUGUAAGUUUCACCAUCCAGAUCCAAUAUCAGAAGACGCGAUUUGGAAUGCUUCGCAGCAUACUACUCAAGGAUCAUAUCAAAUGAACCUUUCAACAAAGCAUGUCCAACGAGCACUGAAUGGGCAUUCUGUUCCCUUAGUUACAUCACCAACUAUUGGAACAUCGGAAAUUAUUCUAACUCAAGGAGUCAAUACAUGUCCAGAAUGGAGUGAAUAUCAGAUGGAUGAAAACAGGCAAGGAAAAUCAGAUUGGGAUCCUUUCACUACUAAAGUUUUUUGUGAUAUUUGUACCGAUGAGGUUUUAUCUGGCAAUCGACCAACCGACCAUUUGAAUGGUAUUGGGUAUAAGAACUUAUGCGCCAAGUUCAAUGAAAAAACAAAAAAAGGCUACAAUCACAAGCAAUUUGAAAGUAAGUGGGAGUCAUUGAAGAAAGACUACCAGACAUGGAAGGCAUUGAUGGAGACUGAAGAUGAUCUAGGGCAGGGUACUAAAAUGAAUACAAUAUCUGUAAGUCUAGAAUGGCGUGCAAAAAAGAUGGAGGAAAUCCCAGAUUGCGGAAAGUUCUGUUUUGCGCCACUCGAGAAUGUUAAUCUUCUAAAUAUAAUGUUCGAGGAUAUGGUAGAUUUACGUCCAACAGCACCUGAAGCUAAUUUGGCAGUCAAUACAACUAUCAGAAGUGAGCAAGGUGCUGGUGAUGGAAAUGAUGUAGGCAUCAUUGAUAAGUAUGUUAAUGAGCAAUCUAAAGAGGCAAUGCUACAACAAUCUUAUGAAAAAGAACCCAACUUGAUGAAAGUCAAGACAAAUUAUGUGCACGCAGGACUCAAUGAUCGUGUUAACUUUGAUGGAAAUCUGAACCCAAGCAAUUUGGCAGCGCCUAUGAGGAUCAAUCGAGUAGGAAGCAAUAUUUCUGAUAUCAUGGAGUUGGUUGUAGGUGCUGGAGCUGAGGAGGGCAGUGACGAACAUUUCAUUGCUACUCAAUUAUUUAUUAGACCUGAACAUCGAGAAAUGUUUCUUACCCUAAAGACCCCUCGAGGAAGACUUGGGUGGCUUAAAAAGAUGUGCCACCUGAAGGAUCCUACUUCAUGUGUAGCUGAUGUUUUUCUCUAA
rnacentral:rRNA from 1 species